AGUUCGCUCUACACCCUUUGUGACAUACCUAUAACUGUUGCUUCGGCGGGUAGGGUCUCCGUGACCCUCCCGGCCUCCCGCCCCCCCGGGCGGGCCGGCGCCCGCCGGAGGAUAACCAAACUCUGAUUUAACGACGUUUCUUCUGAGUGGUACAAGCAAAUAAUCAAAACUUUUAACAACGGAUCUCUUGGUUCUGGCAUCGAUGAAGAACGCAGCGAAAUGCGAUAAGUAAUGUGAAUUGCAGAAUUCAGUGAAUCAUCGAAUCUUUGAACGCACAUUGCGCCCGCCAGCAUUCUGGCGGGCAUGCCUGUUCGAGCGUCAUUUCAACCCUCAAGCUCUGCUUGGUGUUGGGGCCCUACAGCCGAUGUAGGCCCUCAAAGGUAGUGGCGGACCCUCCCGGAGCCUCCUUUGCGUAGUAACUUUACGUCUCGCACUGGGAUCCGGAGGGACUCUUGCCGUAAAACCCCCCAAUUUUCCAAAGGUUGACCUCGGAUCAGGUAGGAAUACCCGCUGAACUUAAGCAUAUCAAUA
rnacentral:rRNA from 1 species